rnacentral:rRNA from 1 species
UGGGGAAUUUUGGACAAUGGGCGAAAGCCUGAUCCAGCAAUGCCGCGUGUGUGAAGAAGGCCUUCGGGUUGUAAAGCACUUUUGUCCGGAAAGAAAUCCUUGGCUCUAAUACAGUCGGGGGAUGACGGUACCGGAAGAAUAAGCACCGGCUAACUACGUGCCAGCAGCCGCGGUAAUACGUAGGGUGCAAGCGUUAAUCGGAAUUACUGGGCGUAAAGCGUGCGCAGGCGGUUUGCUAAGACCGAUGUGAAAUCCCCGGGCUCAACCUGGGAACUGCAUGGGUGACUGGCAGGCUAGAGUAUGGCAGAGGGGGGUAGAAUUCCACGUGUAGCAGUGAAAUGCGUAGAGAUGUGGAGGAAUACCGAUGGCGAAGGCAGCCCCCUGGGCCAAUACUGACGCUCAUGCACGAAAGCGUGGGGAGCAAACAGGAUUAGAUACCCUGGUAGUCCACGCCCUAAACGAUGUCAACUAGUUGUUGGGGAUUCAUUUCCUUAGUAACGUAGCUAACGCGUGAAGUUGACCGCCUGGGGAGUACGGUCGCAAGAUUAAAACUCAAAUGAAUUGACGGGGUCAUAGCUGUUUCCU